CUGCUUUAUAUCUAUCGAAAGCAAGAAGUAAUACAGUAAAACUUUGCCUGGCUAGAGGCUUUGGAAGAAUGGAGUAUUCUGAUUUAAUGCUAUUGAAGUGUGAAGGUGAAAAGAAUGAAAAACUUACAUUUCCUGUUGAAUGCAACUUGAAAAUACAGCCAGUGAUUCCACUUUUCUUCUCUACUAAAAGAAUAUCAGCAAAGGAAGAGCCCUGGUAUUCCAGCAGGAGCAAAGACAAAAAAGAAAAAAACUGACAGUAGCCCUGAGACAACCACUUCCGGUGGUGGCCACUCACCUGGGGAUAGCCAGUACCAAGAACUAGCAGUAGCCCUGGAGUCAAGCUCAGUGACAAUCAGUCAACUCAAUGAAAACAUAGAAUCAUUGAAACAGCAGAAGAAACAAGUGGAACAUCAGCUGGAAGAAGCAAAGAAAACAAACAAUGAAAUACACAAAGCACAAAUGGAGCGGUUAGAGACAAUCAACAUCCUCACAUUGGAAAAGGCAGACUUGAAGACCACCCUUUACCAUACUAAACGUGCUGCCCGACACUUCGAAGAAGAGUCCAAGGAUCUGGCUGGCCGCCUGCAAUACUCCUUACAGCGUAU
rnacentral:lncRNA from 1 species